rnacentral:rRNA from 1 species
GACGAACGCUGGCGGCGUGCUUAACACAUGCAAGUCGAGCGGUAAGGCCCUUUCGGGGGUACACGAGCGGCGAACGGGUGAGUAACACGUGGGUGACCUGCCCUCAGCUCUGGGAUAAGCCUGGGAAACCGGGUCUAAUACCGGAUAUGACUCCAUGACGCAUGUUGUGGGGUGGAAAGCCUUGUGCGGCUGAGGAUGGGCCCGCGGCCUAUCAGCUUGUUGGUGGGGGGAU